rnacentral:rRNA from 1 species
AGCGAACGCUGGCGGCAGGCCUAACACAUGCAAGUCGAACGAACCUUUCGGGGUUAGUGGCGGACGGGUGAGUAACACGUGGGAACGUGCCUUUAGGUUCGGAAUAACUCAGGGAAACUUGUGCUAAUACCGAAUGUGCCCUUCGGGGGAAAGAUUAAUCGCCUUUAGAGCGGCCCGCGUCUGAUUAGCUUGUUGGUUGAGGUAAUGGCUCACCAAGGCGACGAUCAGUAGCUGGUCUGAGAGGAUGAUCAGCCACAUUGGGACUGAGACACGGCCCAAACUCCUACGGGAGGCAGCAGUGGGGAAUCUUGCGCAAUGGGCGAAAGCCUGACGAAGCCAUGCCGCGUGAAUGAUGAAGGUCUUAGGAUUGUAAAAUUCUUUCAACGGGGACGAUAAUGACGGUACCCGGAGAAGAAGCCCCGGCUAACUUCGUG